rnacentral:tRNA from 1 species
GGGAGUAUAGCUCAGUUGGUAGAAUGCUUGCCUUGCAUGCACAAAGCCCUGGGUUCAAUUCCCAGCACCACCA